rnacentral:rRNA from 1 species
GACGAACGCUGGCGGCGUGCUUAACACAUGCAAGUCGAACGGAAAGGCCCUGCUUGCAGGGUACUCGAGUGGCGAACGGGUGAGUAACACGUGUGUGAUCUGCCCUGCACUUCGGGAUAAGCUUGGGAAACUGGGUCUAAUACCGGAUAGGAGCCAUCUUUAGUGUGGUGGUUGGAAAGUUUUUUCGGUGUAGGAUGAGCUCGCGGCCUAUCAGCUUGUUGGUGGGGUAAUGGCCUACCAAGGCGGCGACGGGUAGCCGGCCUGAGAGGGUGUACGGCCACAUUGGGACUGAGAUACGGCCCAGACUCCUACGGGAGGCAGCAGUGGGGAAUAUUGCACAAUGGGCGCAAGCCUGAUGCAGCGACGCCGCGUGGGGGAUGAAGGCCUUCGGGUUGUAAACUCCUUUCGCUAGGGACGAAGCUUUUUUGUGACGGUACCUAGAUAAGAAGCACCGGCUAACUACGUG